rnacentral:lncRNA from 1 species
AGCAAAUUGACUUCGGGUCUCUUGUAAGAAAAUCUAAAUGUAGGCUGUUGAAUAAUCCCUUUGAGGGCCCUGUAACUAUUUUUAUGCCUGGAUAUGCGUCAUCAGUGGGUAUUUUCUCUGGUGACUAGCUUACAUCAGGUCUCCUACCAUACAUUCUAUCAGUGAGUGACUUAUGAUUGAUGGGGGCCACGGCUGUUGUUUAGCUUUUAUCUGUGACCUCAGCGAAUGGACAACAGGAAUUUCCAGGCUGUUAAAUUCCCUGAAUGCUUGAAGACACGGGAUCGUGGUGCUGAUAAAUGCAGUUGCAAAUGGAACUUAAAAACAUAUUUUUGAAGAAAGGAGAAAGAUGAGUGCCAUGGUAGAAAGCUCCGUUUCUUCUUUUGCAACUCUCUCUUGAAUGAGCUGAAUGACUCAUGGUAAGCAGGUUAUAAUUUGAAAUUUACAAAAGGUUGAAACUAAAAGCUUGAUGAGUGGACAUUUAUAGCUGACUGAAUUCAUCACUCAUAAUAUAUCUUUUGCAAUAAGCCAUUUAAAUAUUGGUUAGGGGUACUGUUUAUGUUAUUUUAUUUUAAUGUCCCAGGAGCCAUUAGUGACUAACUUCAUUUCCACAAGACUGAUAUAAUGGUGGGAAAGCUAAAUUUUGGGUUAGUUCUGAUCUUGACAUUUUUUUCUCCCUGUCAUCUCUAAGGGGAAUUAUUAUCACUGUUUAUAAUAAUUUUCCCUUAAUUUUUUUUCUUUUUUUUUGUGAAGGAGAAAUAAUACCUCAGCAUAGCUAAUUUCCAGGAGGAAUAUAUUUUAUUCAACACACACAUACACACACACACACACACACACACACACAAACACACACACCAUAAGUUAGUAUAACUUGUGUGAGAGAAAAAUAGCUGCUUGUCUGUAGAGUGCAUUGUGGCUAUUCUAUGUUGCACAGGACAAUGUGAGACCAGGUAACAUAUUGUCAGUUUAAUAUUGUGAAGGUAUAAAGGAGGGAAUAAUUCCAAGGCUGCAUAGUGAUGGAAAAUAAUAAUUGUUCUCUUUUUAGCAAAAUUAAUAUGGAGUUUUUGGCAUAUUAAAUUUAAAAAAUAUACAUAUAAGUGGAAUACAUUAUCCUUUCACCUUAUAUGCGCAUCUUUUUGGUAAUAUUCAGAGAUGAAAACCCUUACAGGUGCAAUGUCAGGUAUUGUAAUGUGCAGAUCUGGUUAUGGUGGAACCUUGGUAUGAAGUGAAAUUUUAUUGUUCACAGCAUAUUCUCCUCCAUCAGAGGACU